CGAUAUAUGUGGUGAUUGUUGAUAUACGUGAAGAAGUGAGUGCGCACGCGCGCGCGCGCGAUCCGAAAGGCCGCGAUGACGAGUUACGAACGCUUGGUUAUUGCCGACGAGAAGCCUGGCGCCGUCUGCGAGACGAUAUGCUGGCAUCGUUUUGCGGAAAAGGUAGAGACAUCCUGUACGUUAAUUAAUUACCAUUUACUUUUAAAACGAAGUUAAGGAAUAGUAUUAUAUUAUACUUUUAUCGUGUAAUAAUAAUCUAUGUAGGAUUUU